GAUGAACGCUAGCGGGAGGCCUAACACAUGCAAGCCGAGCGGUAUAGAUCUUUCGGGAUCUUGAGAGCGGCGUACGGGUGCGGAACACGUGUGCAACCUGCCUUUAUCUGGGGGAUAGCCUUUCGAAAGGAAGAUUAAUACCCCAUAAUAUUUAGAAUGGCAUCAUUUUAAAUUGAAAACUCCGGUGGAUAGAGAUGGGCACGCGCAAGAUUAGAUAGUUGGUGAGGUAACGGCUCACCAAGUCUGCGAUCUUUAGGGGGCCUGAGAGGGUGAUCCCCCACACUGGUACUGAGACACGGACCAGACUCCUACGGGAGGCAGCAGUGAGGAAUAUUGGACAAUGGGUGAGAGCCUGAUCCAGCCAUCCCGCGUGAAGGACGACUGCCCUAUGGGUUGUAAACUUCUUUUGUAUAGGGAUAGACCUACUCUCGUGAGAGUAGCUGAAGGUACUAUACGAAUAAGCACCGGCUAACUCCGUGCCAGCAGCCGCGGUAAUAC
rnacentral:rRNA from 1 species